rnacentral:rRNA from 1 species
ACUCCUACGGGAGGCAGCAGUGGGGAAUAUUGGACAAUGGGCGAAAGCCUGAUCCAGCAAUGCCGCGUGAGUGAUGAAGGCCUUAGGGUUGUAAAGCUCUUUUACCCGGGAUGAUAAUGACAGUACCGGGAGAAUAAGCUCCGGCUAACUCCGUGCCAGCAGCCGCGGUAAUACGGAGGGAGCUAGCGUUAUUCGGAAUUACUGGGCGUAAAGCGCACGUAGGCGGCUUUGUAAGUUAGAGGUGAAAGCCUGGAGCUCAACUCCAGAAUUGCCUUUAAGACUGCAUCGCUUGAAUCCAGGAGAGGUGAGUGGAAUUCCGAGUGUAGAGGUGAAAUUCGUAGAUAUUCGGAAGAACACCAGUGGCGAAGGCGGCUCACUGGACUGGUAUUGACGCUGAGGUGCGAAAGCGUGGGAGCAAACAGGAUUAGAUACCCUGGUAGGAUAGCG